UACGGAGGGUGCGAGCGCUGUCCGGAAUCACUGGGCGUAAAGGGCGCGUAGGUGGCUACUUAAGCGUGUGGUGAAAGUCCGGGGCUCAACCCCGGAUCGGCCGUGCGAACUGAGUGGCUCGAGCACUGUAGAGGCAGGUGGAAUUCCGGGUGUAGCGGUGGAAUGCGUAGAGAUCCGGAAGAACACCGGUGGCGAAGGCGGCCUGCUGGGCAGUGGCUGACACUGAGGCGCGACAGCGUGGGGAGCAAACAGG
rnacentral:rRNA from 1 species